GUUAAACGGCCGCGGUACCCUAACCGUGCAAAGGUAGCGCAAUCACUUGUUCUUUAAAUGAGGACUAGUAUGAACGGCAUCACGAGGGUUAUGCUGUCUCCCUACUCUACUCAGUGAAACUGAUCUCCCCGUGAAGAAGCGGGGAUAAAAAUAUAAGACGAGAAGACCCCAUGGAGCUUUAAACUCAGUGCCAACUGCCCUAAUAAUAACCUUUUACCCUUGCAGCCAUGGUUACUAGUUUUCGGUUGGGGUGACCACGGAGUAAAAUUUAACCUCCACGAUGAAAGGAACUAAUGUCCUAACCUAUGAGCUACAGCUCUAAGUAUCAACAAAUUGACUAAUUGACCCAAUUACUUGAUCAACGAACCAAGUUACCCUGGGGAUAACAGCGCAAUCCAUUUCAAGAGCUCAUAUCGACAAAUGGGUUUACGACCUCGAUGUUGGAUCAGGGUAUCCCAGUGGCGCAGCCGCUACUAACGGUUCGUUUGUUCAACGAUUAAAACCCUACGUGAUCUG
rnacentral:rRNA from 1 species